rnacentral:rRNA from 1 species
GACGAACGCUGGCGGCGUGCCUAAUACAUGCAAGUCGAACGCAGUGGGGACGGGUGAGUAACACGUGGGUAACCUCCCAUCAGAGGGGAUAACACUUGGAAACAGGUGCUAAACCGAUACUGAUGGAUGGACCCGCGGUGCAUUAGCUAGUUGGUGAGGUAACGGCUCACCAAGGCCACGAUGCAUAGCCGACCUGAGAGGUUGAUCGGCCACACUGGGACUGAGACACGGCCCAGACUCCUACGGGAGGUAGCAGUGGGGAAUCUUGGGCAAUGGACGAAAGGCUGACGGAGCAACGCCGCGUGAGUGAAGAAGGUUUUCGGGUCGUAAAGCUCUUUUGUGGGAGAAGCGGUAUCUAACCAGAAAGCAACGGCUAACUACGUGCCAGAAGCCGCGGUAAUAC